rnacentral:rRNA from 1 species
AUGGGGCACAAUUAGCUUCACGAAAUCUUCUUGUGGUUGGAAAUCAGCAUCAAAGAUAACAACAAACUCAUAGUCUUUCACGUAGCUGCAGUUCAUGGCAGACUUGAGAUUUCCAGCCUUGUAGCCAUCACGGAUCACCCGGUGCCGGUACAAUAUCCGGACACCCUCCCGUUGCCAUUUCUCAACCUCCUCUCUGAUAAGAGCAGAAGUUGCAGCAUCGUCAGAAUCUUCGAGCACCUGCACCAAGAAAUUCGAUCUUGGCCAGUCUAGAUUGCAGACAACUCCAAUGGAUUGCUGAUACACCUGCAAACACGCAUACAAAUCAAAGAAAUGAGCUAA